CCGUAGCCAGUUUUGCUCAAG
rnacentral:sRNA from 1 species